AUGGAAAUUUCCCACCAAUCCUUGCCGAUUGAAGAAAUGGAACAAACAAGCUUCAAAAAUAAAAUUUUCACCUUGGAAAACUGCAGCUAAAUGUCUGAACGUGUUUCUUUAAUUUCAAAUUAUUGCAAUUAUUCCCAAAAAAUAUCAGUGCUCUAAAUUACUAGUUACAUGCCAUUUCAUUGAGUAUUAGUAAAGUCCAAUGAGCAGUCUGCCAUCUAGAGGGCGGUGGGGAGUCUGCG